GCCCGGGUGGCUCAGUCGGUUAAGCAUCUGACUUCAGCUCAGGUCAUCAUCUCGUGGUUUGUGGGGUUCGAGCCCCGCGUCGGGCU
rnacentral:tRNA from 1 species